CUGAAGAGUUGUUUGGGAAGAUUACAGAACACUAUACAAUUUGUUAGUUCAUAACCCUUUGACUUGAUUUAAUCUUGUCUUUAGGCCUUAUAGUUUUGUUGGUUACCUCGACUUCUGUAUUUGAUUACGGAUGUCCAACUAAGAUAAGCUUAUGAAUGAUGUGGAGUUCUACAUAAAAUUUUUUAAACUUAACAUUAUCAAAUUAUCAAUCAUAAUCUAUAAUAAUGACUCCUGGU
rnacentral:lncRNA from 1 species